rnacentral:lncRNA from 1 species
GUGUGAUCUUUUUUAAAUUUUUUUUCUUAAGAUAAAUGUAGCAUGCUACACGUUUCAUUUAUUUUUAUUUUUGUAAGAAAUAAACUAAGUUGAAAAUAUAAAGCAAUUAGGCUUUGAAUUCGAAAUUUUGGAUAACACCAUUAAGUUCAUUAGCAUUUGCGCUACAGACUUCUAUUGCUUUAGCGUGAAGCUGAAAUAAGCUUUUGGGUUCCACAGUUAGAAUUUUUAGAAUCAAAACUUAUGUGUCUAUGUAUAGACU